AUCAUCACAGACCCCUACUCAUCGUUGUAAAAUUGAUUUUUUUUUCGCCAAUUUCUCUAACUUUGUCAACAGAGUUUGAAAUCGGAGCCAUGAGAGUCUCUUCCGUCAACAAAGAACGAAAGUGGUUUUAAAAGUUCAGCUUUUAACCACUGCCAAAUUCACGGGUGUGGAGGUUGAUCAAUAAGGUAUGAGUUUAAGAUAUGUUCUUAUGAUUUUCUGUAAAUGUUUUGGGUUUAAGUACUAUGAUUAGGUUAUGAUUAGGUUAUGAUUUAAACAUUCUAAGUUAUAUAUUACAUGAAACAGUUCAAAAGUGAUACAUAGAUAUUCAUUGAAGAUGAGAUUGAUAUAUAGGUUGAUUAGAGUAUGACCAGUCCUGCAAAUCUGAUAAUAUUCAUACAUUAGAUUUGGGUUCUUUUUGCUUGUUUUGUUUUGCAUUUUACGUCGAAAUAAAUUUGUUGGAUUUAAUCUAAUUUUAUCAAUUUCUCAGAGAUUAAUUUGAAGGUGGGUGUUAGUGUCAUGAUUUUAAAGGUGUUGGUACCGAGGCCCAUCCAACGGACCCAGGCCGAACAAACCAUGGGCCCGCCCGAAGAACGGGCCUAGACCAAGGAAAACCCAGGAGGCCCAUGAGCGAAUCCUAUAAAUACCUCCCCUGGUCCAACAGGGGAGGGGGUUGGAAAAUAGAGAGAACACAUCAUCUUGUGAGAGAGAGCGUUGUGUGUGUGUGUGUGAGCGACCGACUUGUAAGCCCAUACAACCGAUAGGGGGUCGCCCGAAUAGUCAGACGAAGUCAGGAAAAAAUGACAGUAGAUCGGAGGACGAGCGAAAUUUGAGAAGGAUCCGGGUCACGUUAACAACGGGCGUCGCAGGACGAAUAACUGCACGAACACGUACACGAAAGAAAAGAGUCGUUCAAAUUGCCAAAAUAUCCAAAAUACAAGUUACAAGCCUGAGGACGUUAGAAAAAUUACAACGAAAGCCACAAGUGCAUGUCAUAAGUUACAGACUACUCUCUAAGCGAAGUGGGAGAUAAGAGGAAGAAAAGAAGGAUGGAGGGAAAAGGGGUUUCCCAAGGGAUCGGGGAGCAAGACACCACUUCACUGUCGGGUAAUUUCGUACCAAGACAGAUGAUGAGGAAGAAAUGAGCCCCGAGUAACGCUCCCGCAGAGGCCUAGGAACGGGCGAGGGACCGCCCGAACACGAUACCAUCAGCCGUGGAGGCACGGGAGCAGACGAAGGUCGUCCGAACGCGAAACUAGCCAUGAGAACAGGGACCCACGACAAGAAGUGACGCAAAUCGUUAGCCGAGAGGGACGGGGACUCACGAGAACCACGACGACCGGAACCCUCGGCCGGAGCGGCAGCAGGCGUGACAUGCAGUGAGCAGCAGAAGCUCGAGGUCACGGCGGCAGUAGCAGCAGCGGCGGCGACAGAUGCGUCGGCAAGGGCGAGAACAUCGAACCGGCGGAGCUGGGCAAGGCGGCGAUGAACGUCUAUCAGGACGGAGUUGAGUCGUUGGCUCUCCGACACGACAACGCUGUGGAAAUCACCAACCGGCAGCAGCAGGCAGUCCGCCCACGCGGCAUGCUGAAGCUUCACCUCGCGGCCGAACUCCUCCAGGAGGUCUUGGACACUCAUCGGAAAGGGACUGCGGAAUGAGGGAAAUAACUCACGAGAAUCCUUAUUUAUAGAAGAAAAAAAGAGGGGAAAAGGAGGCGCGAACAACGAAUCGUCGUAAAGAAGGUAGUUGGACAGUAUUCUACCGUAUGUGAUGAUUUAAAUCUAAAAUAUGGUGAGUUUGUACUGUUUUUGAGAAGGGGAAGUGAAAUAUUUUUUUUGGAUUUUAUUUGACAUUGAAUGAGAGAUUAGAGAGUCAUGAGUAUGAGUUUUCUCGGUCUUUAUAUUUUUCAUCGGUAAUUUUUUUUUUCUUUUUGAUGUUAAGUCUGAAGGAUAACGAUGUUGAAUAAUAUUAUAAAUGUCUAUAGAAUGAUAUGAGAAACACGAUAUGACAUAACAUGACAUGAAUCUCAUGAUGAGAUAAACAAUAUGACAGGAAUUAGACUACAAAUAGUUGUUAAAUAGUUUGUUUGAUUGUAGUUAUUAAUGAUACUUUUAUGGUUGUUUGUAUGUGAUGAGAAUAAAUACUGGUAUAUUAUUUUUUUAUGUAGAAUCAAGGUAUAAAUUUCCAUACUGAGUCAGUUGAGACUCACCCAUUUUGCUUUGCUAUGUUGUGUCGUGUUAAAAAAUUACAGGAUUGGGACGUUGAUAAAGUCACGUUGCAUGGAUACAGGAGGGCAGAGCAUAGUUAGCAUCAUGAGUUAGUGGUGCUUUAUCAUCAUCCGGAUGAAUAUUAUGAACUCCGUUGGUGAAUAUUUAUUAUUAAUAACAAUGUUUUAGAGUCUUACUAGUGAAUGAUAUUGUUCUAGACUUUAUUCACAAAUUUGAACUUUUAUUUUAUUGACAUAUUAUUAUGUUGAUUCUCGACUUUAGGAAAAGUACA
rnacentral:lncRNA from 1 species